GUGGCAUGCCUCAAUGAUCAAAGAUUUAUUUUUUUUCAGUUUUUUUGGGGAUUUCUUUCAACUUUAAUUACUAUUUUCUUUUAACUCUAUUCAUUUAAUUAAUUAAGAUUUUCAUUAAUUGCUGUUUAGUAACCCCCACACGCACGUAGCAGCAAAACGUUGAAUUUAUUUGCUUCAAAUCAAACUAUCCGACUUUCUCUUUUCCUUCACCAAUUAAUUUUAUCCUUCUCAAACAUUCUAUAAUAAAAUCGAAUGGUUUGCAGUAAACAUGCCUCUGAAAAGUUUUAUACUGGCAACAGACGCUCUUAUGUGUUCUUCUAAAUUGUUGUUGUUUGUUCGGAUUCUCUAAUCGGGAUGUGUUAAAGGGGAUUGCUAAGCGAGAGAAAUGGGAUUUGAAGGACUUGACAACUUUCAAAUUGGAUGCCAAGAAAUUCAAGUUUGGAACUUUAAGAAAAUAUGAGUUUCGGGUCCAAAUUGGGAUGACGAAAUUCGUAUUCAUGAUAGAAGAUGAAAUAUUCCAGUGGGAAAACCUUCAGUUUCAUGAUAAGAAUGGAUCCGACUUUGACUCUUUGUUCAAAGAGAUUGUUUCUAAGGCCACUCUUGAUGUACUACAAACUCAAUGGUCAUUUGAAUUGUAUGCUACCGGGAAUGCUCACCUCUCCUUGACGUUCCCAGUAUGAAUCAUAAACAUAGAUAGCCUAUGUGAUUCUCCUACUUUAAUCUCCAGGCCUUCAAGAUCCUUAUUUAACAAAGAAAAUAAUGUGGAAUUGAGAUCAGCAGAAGAGUCUUCUAAAGAAGUUGAUCAUGGCCAAACUGGGCUCAGAACAUCAAUAUUUGAUUAGAAAGGAUCUGAUUAUUUGCCAAGCUGGGCUUAGAACAUCAAUAGUUAAUUGUAAAAGAAUUGAUCAUGGCCAAGCUGGGGUCAGAACAUCAAUAGUUGAAUGCGUGGAACAGUAUCAUCCCGGUGUCUUCAUUACAUUAACAGUGCUGCCAAGAAAGUAGGGACUCAGGCGAGUCAAGUUCAGGAAAGAGUUUACUGAGAAGGAAGCAAAAAAGUGAUGGGAAGAAAAUCAACUUUUUGUCUGUACAAAGUAUGAUGUUGAAGGAUAUGAAAUUCUAAACCAAGGUUUGCUGAAGAAGUAGCAGUUUUCUUUUUCUUUGUGAUGUAAAUUGAACAUGAUUACAAUAGUGGUUCAUGUUAGACAAGGUGUUUUUCAAUCACCUUAACGUUUUGAGCAUACUUUGAUAAGCAUACUUUCUCUAUUUAAUUACUUUUGAGGUCUAUAUCAAGUGCCAUUUGAGCUCCUUGAGUUUGUUAUCGUAGAAGAUACACUUAAGUUCUAUAGUUUUUGAUAAUUUCAUCCUUCUUUUAAUUGAGAUCUAAGGGGUCGUUUAUGUGAGGUAUAAGUAAUAAUAGUCCUUGGGAUAAAAUGUGGGAUUAUUUUAUGGAUAAAUUACUUUAUAACCACACCUUAAGUUUCUAUUAUUACUUAAAA